rnacentral:misc_RNA from 1 species
AAACAGAGAACCAUGUGGACGGCAUCACGGAUACCGCAAUCAUAUUUUCUGGGAACUAAUAAGAGUCUCUAUUGAUGUCCAAGCAUAGACAUUUGGCUAGGGGAAACAAUAAACCAAAAUAUGAAAAGACACAUUCAGUUCUAUAUUUUCAAGAUACCGACUCGCAGAGUACUUUCGUUUUGCUUCAAAAUCUGCGAGAUGGGAAAAGGUAUACGGAGAAUUAUGAGAUCAAUCUAAACCCAUCUUUAUUACUCUGAAUACAUCUGGCUCAUACAAAUGAACCAUCAACCAAAUAUGAAAUACGAAAACUGAAACUGCCUCUACAAAAUAGUU